CAGCAGCCGCGGGAAUACGAAGGGUGCAAGCGUUAAUCGGAAUUACUGGGCGUAAAGCGUGCGUAGGCGGUGAGUUAAGUCUGCUGUGAAAUCCCCGGGCUCAACCUGGGAAUGGCAGCGGAUACUGGGUCACUAGAGUGUGGUAGAGGAUAGUGGAAUUUCCGGUGUAGCAGUGAAAUGCGUAGAGAUCGGAAGGAACAUCUGUGGCGAAGGCGACUAUCUGGGCCAACACUGACGCUCAUGCACGAAAGCGUGGGGAGCAAACAGGAUUAGAUACCCCUGUAGUCCCUGUCUCUUAUAC
rnacentral:rRNA from 1 species